rnacentral:rRNA from 1 species
UAAGGAAUAUUGGUCAAUGGAGGCAACUCUGAACCAGCCAUGCCGCGUGCAGGAAGAAGGCCCUAUGGGUCGUAAACUGCUUUUGAGCAAGAGAAAACCCCGGUACGUGUACUGGGUUGAUAGUAUUGUUAGAAUAAGCAUCGGCUAACUUCGUGCCAGCAGCCGCGGUAAGACGAAGGAUGCAAGCGUUAUCCGGAUUCAUUGGGUUUAAAGGGUGCGUAGGCGGACUGAUAAGUCAGUGGUGAAAUCUCUCGGCUUAACCGAGAAACUGCCAUUGAUACUGUUAGUCUAGAGUACAGAUGAUGUGGGCGGAAUAUGACAUGUAGUGGUGAAAUACUUAGAUAUGUCAUAGAACACCGAUUGCGAAGGCAGCUCACAAAACUGUAACUGACGCUGAGGCACGAAAGUGCGGGGAUCAAACAGGAUUAGAUACCCUUGUAGUCCCUGAGCGGGCUGGCAAGGCG